GGGUACAGGGAUUGCUUGCAAUCCGCUGACGACCGGCGCACGGGUGCGUAACGCGUAUGCAACCUACCUUUUACUGGGGGAUAGUCAAGAGAAAUUUUGAAUAAUACCCCAUACGAUCCAAUUCACUCCUGUGAGAUGGAAGAAAACUUCGGUGGUAAAAGAUGGGCAUGCGUCCUAUUAGUUUGUUGGUGAGGUAACGGCUCACCAAGACUACGAUAGGUAGGGGUCCUGAGAGGGAGAUCCCCCACACUGGUACUGAGACACGGACCAGACUCCUACGGGAGGCAGCAGUGAGGAAUAUUGGACAAUGGAGGCAACUCUGAUCCAGCCAUGCCGCGUGCAGGAAGACGGCCCUAUGGGUUGUAAACUGCUUUUAUACAGGAAGAAACGUUAGUACGUGUACUAGCCUGACGGUACUGUAAGAAUAAGGAUCGGCUAACUCCGUGCCAGCAGCCGCGGUAAUACGGAGGAUCCAAGCGUUAUCCGGAAUCAUUGGGUUUAAAGGGUCCGCAGGCGGUCUAUUAAGUCAGAGGUGAAAUCCUAUCGCUCAACGAUAGAACUGCCUUUGAUACUGGUAGACUUGAGUUAUUGUGAAGUAGUUAGAAUGUGUAGUGUAGCGGUGAAAUGCAUAGAUAUUACACAGAAUACCGAUUGCGAAGGCAGAUUACUAACAAUAUACUGGCGCUCAGGGACGAAAGCGUGGGUAGCGAACAGGAUUAGAUACCCUGGUAGUCCACGCCGUAAACGAUGGUCACUAGCUGUUUGACUAACAUUGGUUAGUUGAGUGGCUAAGCGAAAGUGAUAAGUGACCCACCUGGGGAGUACGCUCGCAAGAGUGAAACUCAAAGGAAUUGACGGGGGCCCGCACAAGCGGUGGAGCAUGUGGUUUAAUUCGAUGAUACGCGAGGAACCUUACCAGGGCUUAAAUGUAAGUUGCAUGGAUCAGAGAUGAUCCUUUCUUCGGACUACUUACAAGGUGCUGCAUGGUUGUCGUCAGCUCGUGCCGUGAGGUGUCAGGUUAAGUCCUAUAACGAGCGCAACCCCUAUCGUUAGUUGCCAGCAAUUCAAGUUGGGUACUCUAGCGAGACUGCCG
rnacentral:rRNA from 1 species